UACGAAGGGGGCUAGCGUUGUUCGGAAUUACUGGGCGUAAAGGGCGCGUAGGCGGUGUGUCAAGUCAGGCGUGAAAGCCCCGGGCUCAACCUGGGAACAGCGCUUGAGACUGGCACGCUCGAGUUCGGGAGAGGAUGGUGGAAUUCCCAGUGUAGAGGUGAAAUUCGUAGAUAUUGGGAAGAACACCCGUGGCUAAGGCGGCUCUCUAGUACGGUACUGACGCUGAGACGCGAAAGCGUGGGGAGCGAACAGG
rnacentral:rRNA from 1 species